AACCAACUUUAAAUCUUAAAGAGAAAACAAGAGAUAAACUUUUCGAUCAUUUCUUUAACGAUAUCUCACGAGAAAAUAAGAGACAAGCUUUUCUAUCAUUUCUUUAACAAUACAUCACUACCCACAAAAUCCUAUAAGUUGAACCACCACAAAAUUGUUUUACGAGACCGUGGCUCAUCAUCAACUUCCGCAUUUUCACCCUGAACUCCCCCAUAACCACCGCAAUCCAUAGCAACAACAACCGCUCCGUCGUUACUCCUUGAAACUCAUAGGCAAUGCCAAUGUCUUCUCGUACAUUAAAGUUUAGACAAUGACCCAUCACCAACUUUUGUAUUUUCAUUACGAACAAUCCAUAGCAACCACAUCACCUACGUCAUCAGCCCCCUUCAUAUUACACUAUUAUUUAAUGAUUAUAUCUUGUUAUGUGUUACAAUUUGCAAGCAAGCAAUCUAUCAAUAAUAGAGUAGUCCCUUAAAGAAACCAGAAUAUAGUAUAUUUUUAAAAAACACUAAUAAAAAAUGAAUGAUAUCAAGUUGUUUCCAGAAAAAAUGAAAAAUCAAUAACAUGACUCUUAUAUGUUGACUACAUCUAAUUUCUCUAAAAAAAAUGUUGACUACAUCUAAUUGUUAGUGUCUUUUGUAGUCAAUAUAAUUAUGUACUUAUUUAUUUUUUUCGAAAAUGAUAACGA
rnacentral:lncRNA from 1 species